GUGGGUUGUGGGGGGGGGGACUUGAUAAAUAAUAUUCCUUUUUUUUCUUUCCUAAAUAUGGAACCAAUUGAUAAAUAUAAGACAUGUGCAGCAGAUGGAUAGAGAUUUUAAGCCAUCAGUUUUAUUGUUAACAAGCUGAUGAGAGAACGUGUCUUUACAUUCAUGGCCAAAAGGGCUUGCCAACACUCGCAGUACCUACGCCCCCUCCAUAUCACCCCUGGACAGACCUUGGGAGCCCAGGCAGGGAAAAUUCAGGUCAGUAACGGACACAUCCUCCCCGAGGAUGGCAGCCUGGUACCUGUCCCAGGUGAGAGGGAAGGAGAGUAACAGGCUGCUGAUAGAUCAGCUCCUCCAAAUGGGGAAAUGUAAACCAGUGUAUGUCAGCUCUUUUCUAAUCAGAUAACUCACUGCACUCCCACGAAGAGAGUCAGGAGUGAGACUAGAGGUGAGGAGUGUCCCUCACUGAUGUAAGUCCCUGCACCUGAAAACAUGUGAAAGCCAGGUUUGCCCUGUAAACUGAUAUCCCUCCUCCCACAGAGAAUCAUUAUGGCUCUUCCAAUAAGAGCUGUUAACAUGGUGAAAGUCAGGAGAGUCUGUAGUCGAAUGCUAUCAUCUGGCAUCCUAUAUGGGUACAACAAGCCACAGGCAGAAGAGCUGCAGUUACUCACGGCACUACUGGAUGCAGAGCUCGCCUCUUUCCUUUCAUACCUUUCAGGUCCAAGGUCUUUACUCAGGGACCAUGGCCUGGGGCAGCUAUGGGUUGAACCUGGGUGGGGAUCCUAGAGAGGGCCUGUGUCUAUGAGUGUCUGCCUAGCAACCUCUCACAACAUUUCAUGAAACAUGCAGAGAACCGUUUGACGUGCACCGCCUUCUGCCUGGAUCCUGCCUGUCCCUGCCCCUUGCAUAAUUUACUCCUCUGCAUCCUACGGUCUGAGCUGAUUAGCUCACUGGUCACUUUCUCAGGAAGGCUCUCUCCUAACACCCUCACCCCCACUCCUCAAGUCUUUACUGCCUACUCUCAAAGAACUAUGUUCCUUUCCUUUGGAGCAUUUAUUUGGGACGUGCUUUUGUGUUUGUUGGUGUGAUUCUUUGGUCAAUUUCUGUCAGCCCCAAUAGACUAUCAGCUUCGGGAGGAUGGAGACUGUGUCUGGUUUUGCCUCCUCCUGUAUCCUUAGCACAGUGGCUGGUACAUAGAAGGAGUUCAAAUAUUUGUGGAAGAGUCGAAUAAAUGAAGAAGUGAAUGAUUUUACUACCACACCGGAGAACAAAGAUUAAAACCAAGGUAAUCCACUCUCCCCGUCUGUUAACACAUGGCAAGACUGAAAGGAAUCACAUGGAGAAGCCAACAAGAACUUGAGCUCUCAAGGCGCUACUAGGAGUCUAAUCCCACUUUUCAGUCAUUAUUAGUAGUGUGACCUUAAGCAAAUUACAUAACUUGGCUUCGGUUUCUUUUCCUGUUAUCAGAGGAUAAUAAGAGGGCCCACGUUAUAAAGUUGUUGUGAGGAUGAAACCACAUGUAAAGUGGCUAAAACAGUGCCCAGCACUCAGUAUAUACUGGCGAUGAUUAUUCCUCAAGGAGGGAAGGUUGGUGGGUGGGUUGAAGUUGAGAAAGAUCCAAUAGAACGUAUGUUCUCUUCAGAUAGAAGGUGAGGUUAUCUGCUGGUGAUGGGGUAAAGGAUGAAGCAGAUGCAGGUUUGAAAUGGCUAUUACAAGAUUGGGAAAGGGAGGUGACUGCAAGGCAAAGUUGAGAGCCCAGCUAAGGCGGAAAACUGUGAAUUUAGAGCAGCACCAACCAGCGGAAUUGAAUAAUUUCCCAAGCAGCUCUCAGCAGCCAGAGAGGAGGAGCAGGAAGAGGGGAGGGUUGGAAUGAUCCAGAAUUAAAAGCAGGGCAAGGCUUCCCUGGUGGCGCAGUGGUUGAGAGUCCGCCUGCCGAUGCAGGGGACACGGGUUCGUGCCCCGGUCCGGGAAGAUCCCACAUGCUGCGGAGCGGCUGGGCCCGUGAGCCAUGGCUGCUGAGCCUGCGUGUCCGGAGCCCGUGCUCCGCAACAGGAGACGCCACAACAGUGAGAGGCCCGCGUACCGCAGCAGGGCCGAGGCAGGAUAUUAGCAAGGAACAGGACCUGCUACAUGCAAGAAUUUAUGAUAAAGGUGACAUUUCAAAUAAGAGAGUGAAAAAUUAUUCAAUAAACGAUAGUGGGACUAUUGGGUAACUCUUUUGGGAAAAGACAAAAUCAGAUUGUUGCCUAAUAUAACAUAUCAAAAUAAACUAUAAAUAAUUAGAGUUGAAGGUGGAGGGAAGUAAGGAAAGAAGGAAGAAAACAAAGUAAACUAUAGGUGACAGUUUAUACAAGCUUGGCAAGGGGAAGGCUUUUCCAAACCCAACAACCAAAUCAGAAGUCAUAAAUUAAAAGAUUAAUAUGACUAGAGAAAAUGUAAAGCCUCUAUGCCAGAAAAUUAAUUCUUAGAGUUCAAACUGGGGAAAAUAUUUGCAAUGUAAUGAGCAAAAAAGUAUUUGCGAUUCAGUCAAUAUUAUGACAUAGUGUGAGUGUGUUUUGUGUUUGGUAAUUGCAAUCAUUGUUGCUUCUGUUGUGGUCAUCCAUUUACAAUGCUUGGUGUCAGUUGAUUUCUCUCUUGUAAAAAUAAAAUACAGUGUGUGUGUGUGAAAAAAAAAGAAGUAUUUGCGAUUCAAUAUAUAAAAGUAUCCUUUCCAAUCCAUAAGAGAUGAAGGCAGUAACAGAAAAACAAAGGACUUGCAUAGACAUUCACCAAAGGAGAAACGCAAAUGGUUAAUAAACAUAUGAAAAAUCAAGAAGUAUUCAUCAAAGCAAAAUCAUAUGUUAGAUCUUUAGGGACAAGAUAGCAUGUGCAAUCGAUAAUGUUAAUUGGCCAAAAUGUUUUGAAAAGAAAUAAGUUAGGUUUUUACCUAUGUUAGAUAGACCAAAUGCAAGAGGAAUUAAAGAUUUAAAUGUAGUGGAAAAAAUUUAAAAAUGAAUGGGAAUAGAAAAUUAUAUAUUUAUAUUCUUGAUAAGGAGAAACCUUUCUUGAUGUAAUACCAAAGCUGACAAUUUUGACUUAAGUAAACAUUUAAAACUCCUAAAAAGAAAGCUUAAAGCUAAAGGACAAGCAGGAAUGAAGUCUUCAUAACAUGAUAAGCAAGGGGCUAAUAACAUUAUGUCAAGAGCUCUUGAAAAUUAAUGAGAAAAAGCUGAACAUACCAAGUAGAAAACACCAAUACCGAAUUUGGGUGAGGUUGUGGGGAAAUAGGCAUUCUCAUGCUUUGUAGGUGUGAGUGUAAAUUGAAACGACCUUCUGGAAGGCAGUUUGCCAAUGUGUAUCAAAGUCUUAAAAAUGUGCACACUAUUUGACCAACCACUACCUUCCUAGGAAUCUAUCCGAAGAAACUCAUUAUGUAUGUGUACAUAGUUUUGUUUAUAGUGCCAUUCAUCACAGCUUCCUUUUAUGGCUAACAGUUGUAAGCCACCUUAAUGUCCAAUAGAAGAACUGAUUAAAUAAUUUUGGGCAGAACCUACAGAUGUGAAGAGAUUCAUGAUAUACUUUUAAGCGGAUAAAGUAAAUUACACACAACGAAUGAGAGCCUACUGUAUAACACAAGGAGCUCUACUCAGUGCUCUGCGGUGCCCUAAACGGGAAGGAAAUCUAAAAAAGAGGCAAUACAUGUAUCCGUAUGGCUGAGUCACUUUGCUGUACAACAGAAACUAACACAACAUUGUAAAGCAACUAUACUCCAAUAAAAAUUAAUGAAAAAAUAAAAAUAAAUUACAAACAAUAUGUGUAAUAUAUAAAGAGUCAUCACCUCUGGGGAUAAGCUUACAAGUCAUUUUUAUUUUCCCUUGGUGGCUUCUCUAUAUUGUCCAAAUUUUCUUCAUAACCAAAUACUGAUUUGUAAUCAGAAGACAGUAAAUGUUACUUUACUGGGGGACAAAUGAGAAAUAAGGGGGAUAAAAUAUCAUAUUCUUAAAUAUUCCAGUUCUCUCAGAUCUCUCAACCCUGUGGAUACAAAUGGGGACACAUCAGCAAAAUUCAUUCCGGUUUCAGUGUCUCCUGACCCAUCUCGAGCCAUCUUCCUGGCUCCCUCAAAGCCUCGGUAUGUUAUUUCUUAGAGGAGGAGGAAGAGUAUCACAGGUGCUCUCCAUCUUGAGCUCCAUCCCCUCCUUCAGGUGCGCUGCUGUGAAGCCACUUGAGGGCGCCUGGGACUGUGACAGUGUGACCAAAGGGACCUGCCCAGGCAGGAUGCAUGCCCCAGGAUGCGAUCUCCUGGAACUCCAAAUAGCAAGCCGGAGUGUGGCCCAGGGUGCCUGGUAUCCUCACACGCCAAGCCCCUGCCAGAGUAAGAAAUCCUCCUCUCCCAUUCCGGUCACAUUUUGAACUUGGGCCCCAUUAUCCCCCAGAAUCCCUCCACUACCCCCACCCCUACCCCACCUCUUGAAAACACUCCCUCUGCUCCUGCCUUCAGCCCUUCCCUUAAUGAACCUCGCACAGAGUCCUGAUCCAGUCCCAUCAGAGCCUGCUGUUUCUGAGACACAUUGUCCUCCCUCCCUCCUCCCUUACCAGAAAUGAUAGGGCAAAUAAGCCCUAGGAAAAGUCACACGAUUCUCCCAGCUUUAACAGUGGACAGAGGUUUACUGUGUUCCUGCCACGUGCAGAGCAUGUUGGAAAUGAGUGUGAGCACACACCCAGGUUCUUCCACCCCUGGCUUGCAUCCUAGCAGGGAGGGGUUUGUGUCACCAUCAUCUGACUAGGGAGAGACAGAUUUUUGUGGUGAAUACCCACUUUCUUAGCCUAAGAUUCACCUGAUAAUUGCAUCUUCUAAUGCUGUCGGGCUUUGGUUAUGUGCAGUCUCCUCACUUCAAGGAAGCUAUGCACUCCUCUGUGUGGCCCCCAGGGUACCUUGUUGCUAACAGGUCUGAGUUUCCCCAGAGAUCCCUGCACCAACUCUGCCAAGCACUGGAAAGGUGAAACCAAGAUGGGACCCAGUACUCAGGAAAGCUGCCUUGUCUGCUGCAGAGAACACCCACCACCGAACACACUCGCCCACACGGCUUCGCUUUCUGCCACGGAUGGUGAAACCUGUCCCAUGUCUGCAGUGGGGAUGAAGCCUGAAGGGCGGGGCCUGGCACUGCCUGGUAAUGAAUGCCGCAGGUAUUUGGGGACACUGGUUGGAUCCCUGGUCGGAGAACUAAGAUCCCACAAGCCGCGGGGCAACUAAUCCCGGGCGCCUCAAGGAGAGAGCCUGCACACCCUGGAGCCCACGCUGCAACUAGAGAGCAGCCCGUGCGCUGCAACAAAAGAUCCCGCAUGCCGCCACUAAGACCCGGCACAGCCAGAAAAAGAAAAAAUAAAGAAAUAAAUUAAAUAAAUUUU